UUGCACCACUGCACUCCAGCCUGGGCGAUACAGUGAGACCCAGUCUCAAAAAAAAAAAAAAAAGAGUCUUUUUUGAUGGUGGACAUCUUCCAAUGAGCAUUCACAUGGGACAGAUUUUUUUUUAGUUCUACCGUUGUUCUGAAAGCUCUAUGUAUGUUCCUCUUCCCUAAAAAUCUUUGUCACCAAGCCUCCAGAUUUAUUCCUUCUAAAAUGUUGAAAUUCCAGCUAAUUCCUUAGUUGUUACCCAGGAAACAAUGCAGAUCCUGGUCCGAGGAUGCAGCUCCUUCCAGGCAGCCUGGACUGUGAGGUGUGCUCCAUUGCUCUUCAGGAACCGUCCUUGAGAGGCGUUCCACAGCAGGCCAGACCUGGGGGGAGCAGGUGGGCCAGGCGGAAAGCACAGCACAAUUUGAGAGAUGCUGAGUACUCAUGACUCUGUGUAAGCACCUGAAUUCAGCCCUCAUGGUCUUUUCUGAGCUGUCAGUCAUUUAUCUCUAUUUAGUCAUUUUGCGAAUUGGAGUUAGCUUCCUUCCCUCUACACUCAAAGACGGCAUGUCAACAUUUUAGGCCUCUGGGUGGAAUGAACUCCCAGUUUCCUGGGAGGGAGCUGAUUGGCAUCUAUUCGCCUCUUCCUAGUUUUGUGGGGUUUCCCAGCAUGUGGAGUCAUAGAGAAAGACUGGUCCCACCUUCUAUGUAAUGCCCAAGAGAAUAGAUGACUCUCUGUCCACCCCCACCCUGGCAUCCAGGGCUUCUGGACAAGACCUAGGCUGGCUAAUUGGCUGCUUCCACAUGGGAUCCUGAAUCUGGAGCAAGUGAGGCAAAGCCCAGGGUGCUUAGAAUCCAUUCUCAGUGAGAGCAGCAGGACUGCCCGGGAGGGGAAUAGAGACGGGGACGACCGAGUCCUGCACCAGCAGAGAUGACGUCCGCAGGUGGCGGGGCAGCGCUGUGGCCGUGUCACUCCUCACAAAGCAGGGCUCUUGUGCUCGCAGCCUUCGAUACCGUCUCACUGUCUUGGCUUCUAUUUAUCUUCCAAGCCAAUUUCCAGCCUCCUACACACGUGGGGUUCUUCUGGUAUCAUUCCAGUGAAUUUCAUGUUGUUUUCUGCCCUAAGAAAACAGAGUUGGUACCUCUGCUCGACCAAGAAGCCUGAUUGAUACAGACUGAGAGCUGCAGGCUGUGUUUAUUUGCUUCAUUAACAAGAACAACUUAGGAAUGGCAACUUCCAUUGAUGAGCUUCCUACUUUGUUCUGCGGUUGGAAAACAAACAGUUGUUUCCCUGUUGACGACUGGCCACACUGGAGAGGUGAACAGUUCACUCUCAAGGCCAUACUGACUUGAACACUGGCUGUCUAGAAACAGAGAGGCAGGCAGCGGCAGACAGGAAGAGAGAUGGAGCAGAGUCCUCCAGCGGGAGCUGCACCUCGGAAGCAUCCUUAGAUGCGGCUUGGAGUUGGGAUCCUUCAAUUCCCCUCAGGAGAGUCAGCCAAAAAUAUCAACAGCCACAAUUUAUUGGACGCCUUCAGGAGAAAUGUCAAAGGCCUUUGUCCAAAGAAGGAACCAGAUUGGGGCCAACCUUUCAGACGGAUGUCCAUGGGAUGCUCGAGCUGCCUUUCCCCAACAAGUGGUGUCAACAGGGAUCUGGAGAGGUCGUGUGCUGGCCUCCAGGGGGUACCCCAGGGAACGGUGGGAUGUGAGAGUGACAGACCAGGAGGAUGGGGGCCUUUAUCAGUCAAGUGCUGUUCUGUCCCCACCAUCCUUUAGCUGGUGAAUAAUCUCAGGGGGAUUAUUAAAAGCCCAGAAGCAAAGAAGCAUUUGAAAGGUCCGUAUCUAGGAGUCUGGUUUCUCAGAGGAUCAGGGAGGGAUAAGAUUGGCUAAAAGACAGAUUUGGGACUUACUAUCAGAAAAGAAUCACUAGGAAAAUCUAAUAUUGGUACAUGGAAAAGCAACAUGUGGAUUGAAUGAUGGGAUUUCCUGUGAAGAAAAGGUAAGGCAUGCAAGCCAGACAGGACAGAAUGAUGGGCGAAAAUCAAGCCACGCACCUCAAACUCCUCUCGAGCUGAGAUCCAGAAAGACAGGGGCAUGGAAUUGCUGCUGGGUCUGGCAGGGGGCAAGAGCCAAACAGAUGAAGGGUACAUGUGACUGCCAUUCAGGGCCACGAUAGAGGAAAUGAUCAGAAGUCACUUUCUAGAGGCUGUAGAUGGGAGUUUGAUAAGGACCAUGGGGGACAGCUGAGAUCUGGGCAGAUUUGAGAAGGGAGAGCAGAACAGACUGCGUCAAAAGUGGAUCCGUGAGUUUCCUGGCGACCCAGGUAUAGAAGGGAUGCAGGAGUGGCCUGUACUUUCAGAAGCACAUGCAGGAGGAUGCUGGUCUGGGACUGGAGAUGAAAGAGGUCCAGAGAAAAUGGGACACGCUCAGACAGGGGAGCUGUGGGUGGAGUUCAGGACAAAGUCUGAUGUAAGGCUCAUGGAAGACCUUCCUGAAGGAAUUGCCCCUCUCCAGGAAGUAAGGAGGGUGGAUUUGUUUCCACAGUGGGAAUUCCUGGCAGGUCCAGAACUUCUUGACUUUCUGUCUCUCAAUACUGUAGACCUGCAAGAUGGAUAACAGAGGCAUUAGGGAAACUGAUGCCUACGCCACAAAGUUUAAAUACAGCACAAGGAAAGAAGCUACUUUGAUCCAGAAAACACUGCUAACCCCAUCCAAGACUGAGAUGGAGCAGGGCCCUAUGGGGUGAGAUAAGCGUCUGAGGAGCAGGCUGCAGGGAGGAAUGUUCCAGCUGCCACUGAAGCAACACACGAGGCUGAGGCUUGAAAGCUCAAAGGCCGAGGGAGCCGUAGCUUUGGGAAGGAGCAGCUGAUGGGGACGAUGGGUCACCUAAGCCGAGCUGUACCCUCGUCUGCUCCACCUCGAGUUUGAAUUCAACAAGUCUAUUGCUCCAGUGUUUUCUGAAUUAUCUGCAUAUUCAGAAUUCAGCCUGCGGAGCCUCAGCUCUUCUGAAUAUUUAAAUGACGCUCAGUUGCGAUCUGCAUCUCUCAUCAUGGUGUCUGACCCAAAGAUCACAAAGCUGAAGUCUAGCAAAUGACAGGAAGAACUAAGAGAAAGUGCUGCUGCAAAAAGAGUUUAAUGAGAGGGAAACUGAGGCUCUGAGAGAGGAGUGACUUGUCCAGGGUCCUGUGAUGGGAGACUGAGCAGGAAGAAAAUGGGGCUGAUGAGCAGCUCUUGGGGCACUAGAGGCCUUCUGGGUAGCUGUCAUGCCUUGAACGUUUCUUGAGCGUGCCUUCUCCAGCCUCCAGUGAGCACGAGGUCUGCAUUGGCAAACAGAUGUCCACUGUCCUGGGGACAAGAAAGGUGUGAGUCCUCCAUGGCAAACAGAGAAGGAAGGAGAUGUCUCCUUUCCUGAAUCAGCUUAUUGGGAUAAACAGGAAACCCACAGAGGCUUUCUCACCAAGGCCAGCGUGUUUAAUAGGCCUGCAUCUCACCUCUGAGGAUCACAAAGUGUGUGAGCAGCGUCCCAGCAAGGAGACACCGAUGCUCAUGAGGAUUCUGAAACCUCUGUUCGCUGUUAGGAAAUGCUCUUGACCCAUGAGUGUUCCUCUUUCAAGAUCCUCCAGCAUUGCCAACCCGUCCAGCAAGAAGGGGAGAGAUCUCAUAGCACGGGGGCUUGACUAAAUUUGAGGAGUCGAGGAAGUGACGUUUCAGCUAAGACUUUUUUUUUCCUUUGAGACAGGAUCUCGCUCUGUUGCCCAGGCUGGAGUGCAGUGGCUCAA
rnacentral:lncRNA from 1 species